rnacentral:precursor_RNA from 15 species
CAUAGUAAAAAUCGAAGUUAAAACAUUUGCUUUCGAGGUAUUAUGUAGUGCUAUACGUUUAUGUUUCGGUUAUCACUACGUUUUAGCUCGUUAACGAAAUGCUCUACUGUGCAACAAGAAAAUGU